CUUUAGAGCCAGGUUCACAAAAGUGAUGAUUCAAUCGAUGUCACUACAGAACUAGAGUUGAAGACUCCCGGAUCUACUUCGGAUCAGGAUUUGUCAUCAGUACGAAGAAAAUCUAAAAAGUCAGCGAGGCUGGAACACAGAGAAGGCAGUUCGUCAAGUAGAUGUUCUUCUUCUCGUAGUGUACAGGAUAGCUCAUCUAAUAGUGUAGUUGGUGGCAAAAAGGCUGACGACUGAAAAGGAGAAAAAGAGUUAACAAAGAAUAGAACAAGGCAGGUUCUAUUUUUAUUUAUUCUCUUUAAAGCCAUUGUCUUAUGAUUUGGAAAAUAUCUAUGAAAAAUGCACGAGUCAUCUCACUUCAAGAACGUGUUAUGUGUAGACCUAGCCCUCAAAGAAUAUAACCAACUGUUUUUUUCAUUUAAAGAGAAUAGAGUUUGUUAUUAUUUUA